GAUGAACGCUAGCGGCUGGCCUAACACAUGCAAGUCGAGGGGCAGCACAUAAAGUGGUUUACUACUUUUGGUGGCGACCGGCGGACGGGUGCGUAACGCGUAUGCAACCUGCCUCCAACAGGGGGAUAACGGAGAGAAAUUUCCACUAAUACCCCAUAAUAUCAGAAUCGGCAUCGGUUUUGGUUGAAAACUCCGGUGGUUGGAGAUGGGCAUGCGUUGUAUUAGACAGUUGGUGAGGUAACGGCUCACCAAGUCAACGAUACAUAGGGGGACUGAGAGGUUAGCCCCCCACACUGGUACUGAGACACGGACCAGACUCCUACGGGAGGCAGCAGUGAGGAAUAUUGGUCAAUGGGGGCAACCCUGAACCAGCCAUGCCGCGUGCAGGAAGACGGCUCUAUGAGUUGUAAACUGCUUUUACAAGGGGAUAAAUCGGUGUACGUGUACACCGUUGAAGGUACCUUGGGAAUAAGGAUCGGCUAACUCCGUGCCAGCCGCCGCAGUAA
rnacentral:rRNA from 1 species